CCUUGAAGUGGGAGGAUGCUUCCUAUACUGGUAGGAUGCUUCCUAUAAGUGGUAGGAUGCUUCCUACUACUACACUGAUACCAAACCAAGUCAUUCUCAAAAAGCUAGCUUAUCUAGCAUCUAGCUUCAUAGAAGAAACCUUGCUAACAGUAAGCUUCCUAGGGACUAGCUCCCUAGCUGUAAGCUUCCUAGUGGCGGGCUUCCUAGGGACUAGCUCCCUAGCUGUAAGCUUCCUAGCGACGGGCUUCCUAGCUGAAAGCUUCCUACGGACUAGCUCCCUAGUGGUGGGCUUCCUUGAAACUACGCUCCCUAGCGGUAAGCUUACCAGCAGUAAGCUUUGUAGCGGCUAGCUUCCGAGCAGUAAGGUUCCUCGGGACUUGUUCCCUAGCAGCUAGCUUCCUCCAGCCAGGCACCAGUUUGGGCCUUCGGGCCGGCUCCGCUAGAGACCGUCGAGGACAACAGACCCCCCCUGGGGCCCUCUCCCUCUCCGACCAAGGAGCCCCUUCUCCCCAUCAGUCUUCUGGUCCACGCCAGCGUUCCUCUGGCUGUAAAACCCUCUUCUUCAGAGGGGGAGUUACGAGCCCGCGGGGACGGAUCGGAGCCGGCGUGACUGAUGGCGUUUUUACACCAUAGUUUGUGUAAUACUGUCGACGCACUCAAGGCUCCUUCAGCAUGCAGACGCUGAGCAACGAUGUCCUCUAUGAACGGGACGACACUUUUAUAACGCAGGACUUUAGUUUAUUUUUAUUUAUUUUUUACUGGAAAUAAAUCUGUUUAGUCAAUGUUCAGAGAUAAAAGGUAACGAUACGGCAGCGUCGUCCGCCUAUCGCAAACAUGAAGACCGAAAUGCAAAACGAGGAAGCCUUAGUUUAAGGCGUCGCAGGCGCGUGUCGGAUCAGAUAUAAAAGGAUUAAAGUCAUCGAUUGCUUCCAUAAAGUAGCGUCGGAAAAUCAUGAGUUCUCAAUUCAAACCCAACUUUAAUUAAAGAGGAAUUUCUGCCAAUGUUAGGGAGAUGCGGGCUCCCCAGGCUAGCCGUUGCUCAGGCACCUGUGCUGUGGCUGAUUGGAUUAGGCUCCAGACAGGUUUCUGGUGGGAUAGUGCUCCUCUGAGGGAAAAGGCCCCCGCCGCGGUCUGAACUCCGUCUGAACCCGGCUCACCUCCGCCGACGACCUGGUUCUAAAAUAGAAACCAGUGGGCUAUUAGAUGUCGAAACCAGGUGCACCGGUCGUGAAACGUAACAAACAUAUCAAUACGAUGGUCAGAGAGGAGUUGACGAUGUGGAGAGAGCUGGAGAUUGCUGUGCUGAGGAAGGGAAGACUGUUGACCAGUACGUGGUCUCACCCAAACCCGUUCUCACCCGUACCUGUCUCACCCAUACCUGUCUCACCCUUACCUGUCUCACGCGCUCGUUCUCUCUGAUCAGACUCUGGUCCGGUCUGCGUUAGUCCUCCCAGCCCACCACUGUUCAUCCGUUAGAGAAGAGGAGGUCUUGCUCCUCUGUCACAGUUAUUCUGUGUUUGUAGCGUCAGGGGGGAACCUGCAAAGUUGUCCCUCGCCUGAGGUCGGUCGGAUAUUCCUUUGACGUUAUUCGUUCCGAAGGGUGAAUAUUAGUAAUGAGUUUAUAAUAUAUUGCUAACUUUACUGUUGUGUGGAAAGCAAGGACUCACGCACACUCACACUCACACAAUCAUACUCACACAGAUGCAACAGACACACACACACACACACAAACACACGCCCACAAUACAACACACACAACCUGAAAGCCAUUGCUGGGAGGUGUGUUGGCCACCAGUUCAGCCCACUCCAUCUUAUUUAUUUAUUUAUAACAAUAUGUCAGAUCAUAGAGCGAUUGUCUCACCUGGGGGGAUGGGGGGGCCAAGCCUGUCUCCAUCCCACCGUGUGUUGCUGUGUGCGUUUGUGUUGCUGUGUGCGUUGCUGUGUGAAGGAUGUGUGUUGGUGUGUGCGUGUUGGUGUGCGUGUGUUGCUAUGCGUUUGGUUUGCGGUGGUGUGUAUGUGCGUGUGUUGGGAGGGGGGGGGGUAUAUUUGUGUUCAAUAUUGUUGCGUUGCAGGGUGGGUGGAUAUGAGUUCAUAACAUGAAGGCCACGGCUCUGUAGAUUGUCCCGAAUCAAAACAUGGCCAUGUGUACUGACAGAACUGGAAGUGAACCCCUGUGAAGAUCUAGUCACCAUAUCACAGGAUAGACCUAACGAGAGGCUAGAGCUCUGCUGUCCUUCACACAACACGAGGCCAGAAGGGCCCUGGGUCUGAGCUCUCCUGUCCUCCACACAACCCGAGGCCAGAAGGGCCCUGGGUCUGAGCUCUCCUGUCCCCCACACAACCCGAGGCCAGAAGGGCCCUGGGUCUGAGCUCUCCUGUCCUCUCCUGUCCUCCACACAGCCCCAGGCCAGUAGGGCUCUGGGUCCGCCUGCAGAUCUCUCCUGUCCUCCACACAACCCGAGGCCAGUAGGGCUCUGGGUCCGCCUGCAGAUCUCUCCUGUCCUCCACACAACCCGAGGCCAGUAGGGCUCUGGGUCCGCCUGCAGAUCUCUCCUGUCCUCCCUACUGCGGACACUUUGUGAUGAAAGACUUCAUUCAGUUGCUUUUCAAAGUAAAAGCCAACGGGGUGUUUUGUGACCCUGGGGUUACGGACCUGUACAUAAGCCUUUCAUACAGAGCUACUCUUACUUUCUACUGUCCGCUCGGCGACACAACACCGAGGUGAUGGUCGUCACGGCAACCAGUGGCUGGUGGACCCUGGCUUUUUUUUCUCACAGAUCAAAGUUUGGAGGUCCUUCUGAAAGGGGUCGCUGAUGUUUGUUCAGCGGUCCUGCCCUGAGAUUGCUUCAGAUCUGAAC
ensembl:lncRNA